rnacentral:rRNA from 1 species
GGGCCCGCACAAGCGGUGGAGCAUGUGGUUUAAUUCGAUGCAACGCGAAGAACCUUACCUACCCUUGGAAAUCCUCAGAAUUCUCUAGAGAUAAGAGAAGUGCCUUCGGGAACUGAGUGACAGGUGCUGCAUGGCUGUCGUCAGCUCGUGUCGUGAGAUGUUGGGUUAAGUCCCGUAACGAGCGCAACCCCUACUCUUAAUUGCCAGCGGUUCGGCCGGGAACUUUAAGAGAACUGCCGGUGAUAAACCGGAGGAAGGUGGGGAUGAUGUCAAGUCAUCAUGGCCCUUACGGUAGGCUACACACGUGCUACAAUGGACAGUACAGAGGGCUGCAAACCCGCGAGGGGAGCG